AAAUAAUUAAAAUGGCCUUAUUACAGCCCAAAACCAAACAAUAAUAUUAAUAAGAUAAAACUUAUAAAGAAAUAAAUUAGCUACUUAUUGCAAUUAAAAGAAACAGAAACAGUAGUGUGGCCAUCUCCGAGUCCCUCGCAGCUCCAAACCAUCUAAGCUUAGGGAUUACCUGCACAGUUAGAAAUGGGGUGAAUUUACGAAAACUCAGUGUGUAAUCCUAAUAACAAACAAACAGUGAAAACACAGUAUCAGUACAAUCUGGGCUAAAGCCCUAUUUAGUCUUGACAUAUACUGGGCCGAAGCCUUUCGUUUAACGGUUACUGGGCCGAAGCCUUUACUGUAAACGGUAUAGCUCUUAGGCCCAUUUCAAUAUCACAUGUAAUGUCAAUGGAUGUAUGCAAGCCCAUUUCAAUAUCACAUGAAAUACCAAUGAAUGUAUGCAAGCCCAUUUGGAGAGACUACUCAAUCCUCCAUCCGCUACUCUCCACCCGUACCAACCAACACACCAUGUGGGGAAUAACUCAACCCACCCAACCAACACACCACUGGCAGCAUAGCUACUUUAUCAUAUAUCUGAAGGCCUAGCCUCUUUAAUAACUGGGGCAAAGCCCUUUUCAAUAAACUGGGGCAUAAGCCCUUUUCGGUAAACAGGGGCAUAAGCCCUUUUCAAUAAACUGGGGCAUAAGCCCUUUUGCACUUCCUCCAUCCAUAUAAAAACCCAACCCAAUGCAACAUGUCAUGUGUGCAGAAUGUCAUGCCCAUAUUUGAAUAAACAAUCACAGUCAAGUCAUUCAUAUCACCAACAUAUAUUCACAAUCAAAUCCAUCAACCACACAUUCCAAGUCAGUCACUUGCCCACAAGGGCAAAACAAUUAUUUUUCAUAUUAUAAGGGUAUUUUCGUAAUUUUACCAAAUAUCAGUGUUUUCCAUGUUCAUUACAAUUAUCAAUAUUUUCGAGUGUUUAAACAAUGAUCUUUAACCCGCUUUAUCAAAUUCGGGCUUUUGGGCCCAAAACCCCUAAUGGGCCCUACGAAUGCUGAUUUAGCUUACUUAACCCAAAUUUUACAACAAUACUAACCGUGUUAACGUGCAACUUUUCAAAAUUCCAUUUUCUAUCAAUUCUACCCAAAUGGGUCCGAAAGCCCAUUGGGCCCAAUUUUAGCCCAUUGAGGCCCAACUUACCAUCGUGCACAAAAUCGAGUUCUUACCUGUUCCAUCGAUCCAAAAACUGAUCUUAUCGUAUUUAUCGCAUCUAUACCCAAACGCAACAUUACAAGUUCCCGAAAUAUCGGUAUUUUAGCAUUUCGGCUUCUCAGCAAAUAUUAAUCUAAGCUAUUACGAGGGUUAGUACACACCUGUUACGGGUUGAAGUUGAAACGUUUCCAAAAUCAAUCGCCUACGAUAACCACCACCUGUCACUCAAACUUAACUAAUCCAAUAUCAAUAUAUGUAAAUCCUAAGCACAUCAGUCAUACGAAACAUAAGGGCAUAUUCGUCAUUUUACCAUACAGGGGUAUUACGGUCACUUUACCCUACAGGGGCUUUACGGUCUUUUUACCUAUUAGGGGUAUUUUAGUCCUUUUAUCCUACAAGGGUGUUUUGGUAAAUCUACAAACCAAGGGUAUUUCAGUAAUUUUGUAAACCAAUGGUAUUUCUAUAAUUUUUAAAAAGUCAAGUGUAUUUUUGUAAUUUUAUAAAUCAGGGGUAUUUUGGUAAUUUUACAAAUUGAGGGUAUUUCAGUAAUUUCACAAACCAGUGGUAUUUUGGUAAUUUUACAAGCUAGGGCCAUUUUGGUAAUUUUACAAACUAGGGGUAUUUUGGUAAUUCUAUCUUACAGGGGUAUUUCAGUAAUUUCACAAUCGAGGGUAAAACGGUAAUUUUUUAAACUGAGGGUAAAAUGGUAAUUUUGUAAAUCGAGGGUAAAACGGUAAUUUUGUAAAUCGAGGGUAAAAUGGUAUUCUAUAAAUUGAGGGUAAAACGGUAAUUUUGUAAAUCGAGGGUGAAACGGUAAUUCUACAAAUCGAGGGUAUUUCAGUAAUUUGGUAAACUAAAGUAUUCUAAACACGGAUAACAAUAUGAAUGGGCCUAAAGCCUAUUCUCAGCCCAAAUGGGCCCACACGCUCGUGCGGCCCUUUUAGCCCAAAUCUAGCCACAAAUAUGAGAUUGACCUAGCCUAGUCCAAUAUUUACUACCCAAUCAAACAACUUAUCCAAUUGGGCCCGUAGGCCCAUUAGGCCAACAUGACCCCUUUCGGCCCAUCACGGCCCGAAGUAGCCAUCUUACAGCUAGAGUAGUGAGAAAUACACACCUGAUUGGCGACUGGAGUUAAUCCAAGCUCCGAGCACUCUUAGUCGACGCCCAACCCAAACGAGCACGCCAUACAGCGAAA
rnacentral:lncRNA from 1 species